rnacentral:rRNA from 1 species
CAGAGUAUCAAUUGGAGGGCAAGUCUGGUGCCAGCAGCCGCGGUAAUUCCAGCUCCAAUAGCGUAUAUUAAAAUUGUUGCAGUUAAAAAGCUCGUAGUUGAAUUUCUGCUGCAUUGCUUUUGCUCCUUUACGAGUCUUUGCAUUGUGGCUUAUUUCGGACUUUGUUUUACAAUGUCCGGAUGUUUACUUUGAGAAAAUUAGAGUGCUCAAAGCAGGCUUUCGCCUUGAAUAGUUUAGCAUGGAAUAAUAAAGUAGGACUUUGGUUCUAUUUUGUUGGUUUUAGGUACCAAAGUAAUGGUUAAUAGGAACAGUUGGGGGCAUUCGUAUUUAACUGUCAGAGGUGAAAUUCUUAGAUUUGUUAAAGACGAACUACUGCGAAAGCAUUUGCCAAGGAUGUUUUCAUUAAUCA